GCAAGUCGAGCGGAUCUUCAUUAGCUUGCUUUUGAAGAUCAGCGGCGGACGGGUGAGUAACACGUGGGCAACCUGCCUGUAAGACUGGGAUAACUUCGGGAAACCGGAGCUAAUACCGGAUAUCCUUUCCCUCACAUGAGGGAAAGCUGAAAGACGGUUUCGGCUGUCACUUACAGAUGGGCCCGCGGCGCAUUAGCUAGUUGGUGAGGUAACGGCUCACCAAGGCAACGAUGCGUAGCCGACCUGAGAGGGUGAUCGGCCACACUGGGACUGAGACACGGCCCAGACUCCUACGGGAGGCAGCAGUAGGGAAUCUUCCGCAAUGGACGAAAGUCUGACGGAGCAACGCCGCGUGAACGAUGAAGGCUUUCGGGUCGUAAAGUUCUGUUGUCAGGGAAGAACAAGUACCGGAGUAACUGCCGGUACCUUGACGGUACCUGACCAGAAAGCCACGGCUAACUACGUGCCAGCAGCCGCGGUAAUACGUAGGUGGCAAGCGUUGUCCGGAAUUAUUGGGCGUAAAGCGCGCGCAGGCGGUUCCUUAAGUCUGAUGUGAAAGCCCCCGGCUCAACCGGGGGAGGGUCAUUGGAAACUGGGGGAACUUGAGUGCAGAAGAGGAGAGCGGAAUUCCACGUGUAGCGGUGAAAUGCGUAGAGAUGUGGAGGAACACCAGUGGCGAAGGCGGCUCUCUGGUCUGUAACUGACGCUGAGGCGCGAAAGCGUGGGGAGCGAACAGGAUUAGAUACCCUGGUAGUCCACGCCGUAAACGAUGAGUGCUAAGUGUUAGAGGGUUUCCGCCCUUUAGUGCUGCAGCAAACGCAUUAAGCACUCCGCCUGGGGAGUACGGCCGCAAGGCUGAAAACUCAAAAGAAUUUGACGGGGGCCCGCAACAGCGGUGGAGCAUGUGGUUAAUUUCGAAGGC
rnacentral:rRNA from 2 species